UAAAACUCAUGCUUAUGCCUAAUGGGAAUUGACAUUUGCCGGGACUGCCUAUAUAAUCUCUAAGGUAUCGGGCCCGGUUCUGAGUAUCGUCCAGGCUCCGGUCCCACGCAAUGGAAAUCUGUGAACCGUGUCAGGUCAGGAAUGAAGCAGCACUAAGCAGAACCUUUCAUGUGACGUGGGGGCUCCGGGGUCUGGACGAUAGACAGAGCCGGGUUCGUUGUUUUA
rnacentral:misc_RNA from 1 species